GUCACUGUGGCGCAAUGGGUUAGCGCGUUCGGCUGUUAACUGAAAGGUUGAUGGUUGGAAUCAUCCACGGACG